CUAAAUGUUUUCUGAACACCUCCUGGGAAGGUGACUCCACCACCUCUUUGGGCAGCCCAUUUUAGCAUCAAACCACACCUCUGAAGAAGCAAUUUUUCCUAUGUCCACUCUGAAUCUUCCUGGCACAACUUGAGGCCAUAAACAUGCAACCUGCUGUUAAUACUUUUCCUAAUGUCCUGACAAUACUGAAUGAGAAACACAUCAAUCUCCUGCUAGAUAUCUCUGAAUAAAGUCAAUAGAACAACAAAGAAAGUAGGAGAUGCUAACAUCUGAGAAAAAAUACUGAGCAGGGGAAAUAAAACAAGAAGAAGGCAAUGAAGUGGCAGCCCUUCCCUAAGGCAACAGACACAUUCCUGCCAGCUGCAUUAAUAACUUCCACCUUGUGACACCGAAAACACUGGGGAACUGUUUAAAAGCGUCCUGUCUUGUACAGAUACAUACAGAAGCAGCAAUUACAGUAACAAGAGGAAUAAUAAUGACAAGAAAAAGCACAAGGUGGAAAAAGUCUGUGAAGAAAGUGUGGGCGAAAGCAUUUUUUCAGGUUCCUUGCACGAAAUAUUCCCAAGCAACAGACACUGUGAAGUGGGAGAAAUCCACAACUUCUACAACAUUUUGUCUGAACGCCCUCGCAAAGACAAAGGAGUGGGCUUCAAGACAGGUAUCAGGAUUUUGCCAAUAAUAAAACAUACCUUUAGUUUUAAAUGUGUUCCUUAACCCAUUGUGUUACUUUGGCUCUAUCUGAAGGGUUGAAAACUAAGUGCUUUUUUCUCUGCUUGUAAUCCAUUUCCUGUGGGUUGUUACCACCUAUCUGUCUGGCAGGAACUACCCAGUUACCACGUUGAUCAAGCCUUACCUUUGGAUGUCAUCCAAAAUUACUUAACAGAAAAUAAUCCAACUGGCAUAUCUACUAUGAGGAGAAUGAGCAACAUUUCCUUGAAGAAUUUACUCAAAGUAGGCGUGUGUAUUAUGUGCCAAGAAAAGAAGGAAAUUUGAUGCUAGCAUCAGUUGAUGAACAUUAGCAUGUAUUCUUUAUAUGGUACAUGCUGAAGGCAAUGCUAGGAAAAAAAAAAAUGAAAAAAAUCAUUGUUUUAAGGUCUUCCUGCCUCAAUUUAGGGAAAGAAAAUGGCAAGUUCCCCAAUGGAAAGGCUUUUUUGUUGUUGUUUUGUUUGUUUGUUUGUUUGUUUGUUUUCCAUGAAGAAUGGAAAUACUUCAAGAGAUGGGGGUUUUCUUGUGAAUGUCUAAACAAAACAUUUGCAUUGAAUUCAAAAUCUGUAUGUUUCAGCGUGUCCAACACAGCCAAAAUAUUUUGCUUAGAGAAGGCAGGCAUGCGUUACUAUUUUCAAUGCGUUUCAUGUAAAAAAAAAAAAAAAA